ACCAGACUCCUACGGGAGGCAGCAGUGGGGGAUAUUGCACAAUGGGGGGAACCCUGAUGCAGCGACGCCGCGUGGGUGAAGGAGCGUUUCGGCGCGUAAAGCCCUAUCGGCAGGGAAGAAGGAGGACGGUACCUGACUAAGAAGCCCCGGCUAACUACGUGCCAGCAGCCGCGGUAAUACGUAGGGGGCAAGCGUUAUCCGGAUUUACUGGGUGUAAAGGGGGCGCAGACGGCAGCGCAAGCUAGGAGUGAAAGCCCGGGGCCCAACCCCGGGACUGCUCUUGGAACUGCGCGGCUGGAGUGCAGGAGGGGCAGGCGGAAUUCCUAGUGUAGCGGUGAAAUGCGUAGAUAUUAGGAGGAACACCAGUGGCGAAGGCGGCUUACUGGACUGUAACUGACGUUGAGGCUCGAAAGCGUGGGGAGCAAACAGGAUUAGAUACCCCGGUA
rnacentral:rRNA from 1 species